UACGUAGGGAGCGAGCGUUGUCCGGAAUUACUGGGCGUAAAGGGCGCGUAGGCGGGAUAUUAAGUUAGGUGUGAAAACUCCGGGCUUAACUUGGAGAUUGCACUUAAGACUGGUAUUCUUGAGGACAGGAGAGGGAAGUGGAAUUCCUAGUGUAGCGGUGAAAUGCGUAGAUAUUAGGAGGAACACCAGUGGCGAAGGCGACUUUCUGGACUGUAACUGACGCUGAGGCGCGAAAGCGUGGGGAGUGAACGGGAUUAGAUACC
rnacentral:rRNA from 1 species